GCCUAUUGCUAGUGUGUCUUUGGUCAACAAUCGCAAAACUCCUUUUUACUUCACUUCCAGCUGACGUUCCAGUUUUCAGCAGGGGACAAGAGGGAGAGAGGUUCAAACAAGUCUGACCUUGUAUGCAGAUAUUGCGCACCCAGAGUUUUGUGCCACGAAAAUGGGUUUAGUAGUGCAUUCUGUCUGUGUAGAUAGUGCUUGUAAGAGGACAUUAUAAAUGCUCUAAAUGAGAUUUUAGAUAAUGAAUCUGAGAGCGAACUGCUGGUGUCUUUAUCUGAGGAAGAAUUUCCAUCGCGAAUAGUUCCAGAUCUUCAUCAGAAGACGAUGUUAACCCUGAGAAGGUUCUACUUAAUGCUGAUGAGAAAGGAACAGCUGCCACAAAGACUAAGUCAACUCAAGGAAGUGGAUGUCCUCAAGGUUGGCGUGGACAACAAAAUGCCCAGGGUUCUGGACUACUUCAGUUUCCUUCAGGGUGCCACCAGUGCCUGCUGCCAGCUGCCCUGUGACAGAACCUCCACUUCCCCUUCCACCUCAGCUGCUGCCACUGCCACCCGCUGCCCUGCAGGUCGCCGCCUCCAGCCCCUUCUGGCUGCGAACGUAUGGACAUCAGCCACAAUGUCCCUACUCCUAUGGACGUUUGUGGUACUGUGCAUUCUUUUUUCAGGGGGACAAAUUUCGUAGCAGCCUCUUAUCAGUUAAGGGCCUGCACAACACACAAGCAAGGUGGGCUGCCGACCUUCCUUCGAGAGCUCAGAUCAAAACAUCGCCAGUGGAUGGAAACAUCAACGGACUUCCCACAUAAACACAGCACUAUUUCAUGAAAAGCCAUGUGACAGAGAUCCACCUAUUGGAACUAAUGUGUCUACAUGUAGCACUCCACUGAAUCGGUGUUAUAAGCACGCCAGCAAAGUCAGACCCGCAGUGUGUACCUACAGCGGGGACAGCUCUGGACAAUACCUAUGCUGGCUCUAGCCUAGUAGACACUUGCCAACAGCUUGCAGCAGAAAGUUGUAUUUUGUUGGGUGUAGCACCACUUUGUAAUUGUGUAGAGUAGUAUUUUGGUAAUUAUUUCUUUUCAUUCCCUUAUAAUCUUAUCUGGUUUUAGCCACCCAAGAAUUGUUAUGCUUCUUGUUAUUCUCGUGUUUGG